UACCGAGGGUGCGAGCGUUAAUCGGAAUUACUGGGCGUAAAGCGUGCGUAGACGGUUAUGUCAGUCGGGUGUGAAAGCCCCGGGCUCAACCUGGGAAUUGCAUUCGAGACUGCAUAGCUAGGGUGCGGAAGAGGGAAGCGGAAUUUCCGGUGUAGCGGUGAAAUGCGUAGAUAUCGGAAGGAACACCAGUGGCGAAAGCGGCUUCCUGGUCCAGCACAGACGUUCAGGCACGAAAGCGUGGGGAGCAAACAGG
rnacentral:rRNA from 1 species